GCGGAAGUAGCUCAGUCGAUAGAGCAUCAGCCUUCCAAGCUGAGGGUCGCGGGUUUGAGCCCCGUCUUCCGCUCUA
rnacentral:tRNA from 4 species